CCUACGGGAGGCAGCAGUAGGGAAUUUUUCACAAUGGGCGAAAGCCUGAUGGAGCAACGCCGCGUGCAGGAUGAAGGCCUUCGGGUUGUAAACUGCUUUUAUAAGCGAGAAAUAUGAUGGUAACUUAUGAAUAAGGAUCGGCUAACUACGUGCCAGCAGCCGCGGUCAUACGUAGGAUCCGAGCAUUAUCCGGAGUGACUGUGUGUAAAGAGUUGCGUAGGUGGAAUAAUAAGUAGCUAGUGAAAUCUGGUGGCUCAACCAUUCAGACUAUUAGCUAAACUGUUAAGCUCGAGACCGUUAGGGGUAACUGGAAUUUCUAGUGUAGGAGUGAAAUCCGUAGAUAUUAGAAGGAACACCAAUAGCGUAGGCAGGUUGCUGGGACGGUUCUGACACUAAGGCACGAAAGCGUAGGGAGCAAACGGGAUUAGAUACCCGUGUAGUC
rnacentral:rRNA from 1 species